GAGUUUGAUCAUGGCUCAGAUUGAACGCUGGCGGUAGGCUUAACACAUGCAAGUCGUGCGAGAAAGUAUCUUCGGAUAUGAGUAGAGCGGCGGACGGGUGAGUAACGCGUAGGAAUCUACCUAGUAGAAGGGGAUAGCCCGGGGAAACCCGGAUUAAUACCGUAUACCUCCUUCGGGAGAAAGAAGGCCUCUCUUUGAAGCUUUCGCUAUUAGAUGAGCCUGCGUAAGAUUAGCUUGUUGGUGAGGUAAAGGCUCACCAAGGCGACGAUCUUUAGCUGGUCUGAGAGGACGAUCAGCCACAUUGGGACUGAGACACGGCCCAGACUCCUACGGGAGGCAGCAGUGGGGAAUAUUGGACAAUGGGCGCAAGCCUGAUCCAGCCAUACCGCGUGUGUGAAGAAGGCCUUCGGGUUGUAAAGCACUUUAAGCAGGGAGAAAAAGUUAUAAGUUAAUACCUUAUAACCUUGAUGUUACCUGCAGAAUAAGCACCGGCUAAUUCCGUGCCAGCAGCCGCGGUAAUACGGAAGGUGCAAGCGUUAAUCGGAAUUACUGGGCGUAAAGCGCGCGUAGGUGGUUUGUUAAGUUGGAUGUGAAAGCCCUGGGCUCAACCUAGGAACUGCAUCCAAAACUAACUCACUAGAGUACGAUAGAGGGAGGUAGAAUUCAUAGUGUAGCGGUGGAAUGCGUAGAUAUUAUGAAGAAUACCAGUGGCGAAGGCGGCCUCCUGGAUCUGUACUGACACUGAGGUGCGAAAGCGUGGGUAGCGAACAGGAUUAGAUACCCUGGUAGUCCACGCCGUAAACGAUGACAACUAGCUGUUGGGAGACAAAGUCUUUCAGUGGCGCAGCU
rnacentral:rRNA from 1 species